rnacentral:lncRNA from 1 species
CCUAAUAAUCCAAUAGGAUUAUAGAGAAAUUAUAAUUAAAUGUUAACAAUCAUAAUCAAACAUUAAGCAAGUUCAAUUAAAUUUUAUUGAAGUUAUAAAAGAAACACAAUGAAAUCCUAAAGAAAUAUAAAAGAAUAUUAAAGAAAACUUAGUCAAACCCUAACAAAAAUCUAAAUAAACCUUAAAUUCUAACCAAACCCUGAUCUUAAUCCAAUCUUAAUCAAACCCUAGGCAAACUCUAAACCUUAAACAUAUCGUAGUCAAAUCUUAAACAAAUCCUAAUCCUAACAAAUCUUAAUCAAUUCAAAACCUUAAACAAAUCCUAGUCAAAUCCUAAACAAACCCUAGUCAAAUCCUAAAUAAAUCCUCAUCAAAUCCUAAACUCUAAACCAAAUCUUAACCAAAUCCUAAUCCUAAAUCCUAAUGAAAUCCUAAGCCAAAUCAAAUCCUAAUCAUAGAUUUGAAAUUUAAAUAAAAAAAGAUU